CCGUAGGUGAACCUGCGGAAGGAUCAUUCACAAUGAGCGUUUUAUGGCGCUUUUUAAACAAAUCCAUAUCCACCUUGUGUGCACCGUUUGAGUUCUCCGCCUCUCCUUGACUGCGAGAGGAGGGAGUUCUUAACCACAUCAAUUUUUUUUAACCAGUUUGUCUGAACAAGUGUAUCGUGAAUUAACUUAAUUCGAUAAUACAACUUUCAACAACGGAUCUCUUGGCUCUCGCAUCGAUGAAGAACGCAGCGAAAUGCGAUACGUAAUGUGAAUUGCAGAAUUCAGUGAAUCAUCGAAUCUUUGAACGCACAUUGCGCUCUUUGGUAUUCCGAAGAGCAUGCUUGUUUGAGUAUCAGUAAACACCUCAAAGCCUUUGGAUUUUUUAAUCGAAAAGCUUUGGACUUGAGCAAUCCCAACACCAAUCUUUUUGAGAUCGGUGGCGGGUUGCUUGAAAUGCAGGUGCAGCUGGACAUUCUCCUGAGCUAAAAGCAUAUUCAUUUAGUCCCGUCAAACGGAUUAUUACUUUUGCUGCAGCUAACAUAAAGGGAGUUUGACCGUAUUGGCUGACUGAUGCAGGAUUUCACAAGGGUCGGCAACGAUUCUUGUUAAACUCGAUCUCAAAUCAAGUAAGACUACCCGCUGAACUUAAGCAUAUCAAUAAGCGGAGG
rnacentral:rRNA from 1 species